UAGUUGGUGAGGUAGAGGCUCACCAAGACGAUGAUGCUUAGGGGGUCUGAGAGGAUAGUCCCCCACACUGGUACUGAGACACGGACCAGACUCCUACGGGAGGCAGCAGUGAGGAAUAUUGGUCAAUGGACGCAAGUCUGAACCAGCCAUGUCGCGUGCAGGAUGACGGCCCUAUGGGUUGUAAACUGCUUUUUUACGGGAAUAAUUGUCUCUACGUGUAGGGAUUUGAAGGUACCGUAUGAAUAAGGAUCGGCUAACUCCGUGCCAGCAGCCGCGGUAAUACGGAGGAUUCGAGCGUUAUCCGGAUUUAUUGGGUUUAAAGGGUCCGUAGGCGGGUCUGUAAGUCAGUGGUGAAAUCUCACAGCUUAACUGUGAAACUGCCAUUGAUACUGCAGGUCUUGAAUUUAGUUGAGGUGGGCGGAAUACGUUAUGUAGCGGUGAAAUGCAUAGAUAUAACGUAGAACACCGAUUGCGAAGGCAGCUCACUAAGCUAAUAUUGACGCUGAUGGACGAAAGCGUGGGGAGCGAACAGGAUUAGAUACCCUGGUAGUCCACGCCGUAAACGAUGAUUACUCGUUGUGCGCGAUACACAGUGCGCGACUGAGCGAAAGCAUUAAGUAAUCCACCUGGGGAGUACGUUCGCAAGAAUGAAACUCAAAGGAAUUGACGGGGGGCCCGCACAAGCGGAGGAACAUGUGGUUUAAUUCGAUGAUACGCGAGGAACCUUACCUGGGCUUAAAUGCAGUUUGAUCGAUCUGGAAACGGAUCUUCUCUUCGGAGCAAAUUACAAGGUGCUGCAUGGUUGUCGUCAGCUCGUGCCGUGAGGUGUCGGGUUAAGUCCCAUAACGAGCGCAACCCCUAUCGUUAGUUGCUAGCAGGUAAUGCUGAGGACUCUAGCGAGACUGCCACCGUAAGGUGAGAGGAAGGUGGGGAUGACGUCAAAUCAGCACGGCCCUUACGUCCAGGGCUACACACGUGUUACAAUGGCCGAUACAAAGGGCAGCUACCUGGUGACAGGAUGCUAAUCUCAAAAGUCGGUCUCAGUUCGGAUCGGAGUCUGCAACUCGACUCCGUGAAGUUGGAUUCGCUAGUAAUCGUAUAUCAGCAAUGAUACGGUGAAUACGUUCCCGGGCCUUGUACACACCGCCCGUCAAGCCAUGGAAGCCGAGGGGACCUGAAGUUCGUAACCGCAAGGAGCGACCUAGGGUAAAAUUGGUAACUGGGGCU
rnacentral:rRNA from 1 species